rnacentral:rRNA from 1 species
AUUACCGAGUUUACAACUCCCAAACCCCUGUGAACAUACCUAUUUGUUGCCUCGGCGGUGCCUGUUCCGACAGCCCGCCAGAGGACCCCAAACCCUGAUUACAUUUAAGAAGUCUUCUGAGUAAACCGAUUAAAUAAAUCAAAACUUUCAACAACGGAUCUCUUGGUUCUGGCAUCGAUGAAGAACGCAGCGAAAUGCGAUAAGUAAUGUGAAUUGCAGAAUUCAGUGAAUCAUCGAAUCUUUGAACGCACAUUGCGCCCGCUAGUAUUCUGGCGGGCAUGCCUGUCCGAGCGUCAUUUCAACCCUCAAGCCCCCGGGCUUGGUGUUGGGGAUCGGCGAGCCUCCGCGCCCGCCGUCCCCUAAAUCUAGUGGCGGUCUCGCUGUAGCUUCCUCUGCGUAGUAGCACACCUCGCACUGGGAAACAGCGCGGCCACGCCGUUAAACCCCCAACUUCUGAACGUUUGACCUCGGAUCAGGUAGGAAUACCCGCUGAACUUAAGCAUAUCAAUAGU